AGAGUUUGAUCCUGGCUCAGAUUGAACGCUGGCGGCAUGCCUUACACAUGCAAGUCGAACGGUAACAGGUCUUCGGAUGCUGACGAGUGGCGAACGGGUGAGUAAUACAUCGGAACGUGCCCGAUCGUGGGGGAUAACGAAGCGAAAGCUUUGCUAAUACCGCAUAAGAUCUACGGAUGAAAGCAGGGGACCGCAAGGCCUUGCGCGGACGGAGCGGCCGAUGGCAGAUUAGGUAGUUGGUGGGAUAAAAGCUUACCAAGCCGACGAUCUGUAGCUGGUCUGAGAGGACGACCAGCCACACUGGGACUGAGACACGGCCCAGACUCCUACGGGAGGCAGCAGUGGGGAAUAUUGGACAAUGGGCGCAAGCCUGAUCCAGCCAUGCCGCGUGAGUGAUGAAGGUCUUAGGAUUGUAAAGCUCUUUCACCGGAGAAGAUAAUGACGGUAUCCGGAGAAGAAAGCCCGGCUACUUCGUGCAGCAGCCGCGGUAAUACGUGCCAGCAGCCGCGGUAAUAC
rnacentral:rRNA from 1 species